ACUGACUUCCUCUAUUAAGGCAGUUGCAGAAUUCCUUCUGCCUGUGUGAGGGUUCACCUCACAAACUAUGUGUAGUGAUCACGAGCUGAAAAGAGCAAGAUUUAUUCCAACAUGGGAACAGAAAUUGUGCAUUUUCUGGAUUCCCAACUUAGAUUGCCUGGAGUCCUGAUGCAGAGGAUGAACAGCAGGCAAUACUUGGGACAGUCAGCCAUUUUGUUAAAUACUUUAUUGGACCCCAACAUGAAGGAGAAAGCUGAAAAGUUGCACGGUCCGACAGAAUUUACAAGAAAACAUCUAUUUUCUGUGUUAAGGAAAUUGAGCAGGUGAAGAAGAAACCAUACUAGGAAAGAACUUUCACAAUAGUCUGCAUUUGUAAAUGUUGCUAGUUUUAUUUGACAUAAGCUACGUUUCCGGGGAGAGUGCUUUAAAAUAAUGUGAGAAACUGUCUAGGUUAACAAUUUCAUUUGUUUUCCAUGAAACUUAUUUGUUGACUUAUUUGUUGUUCACAAUGGGGGAAGGGGAAGACAGUUGUGCUCUUUGUAGUGAAUUUUCUGUCAUCAGCAAGAGGCUGUUGAACUUUCAAAGGGAACAAAGUGCCCUUGAGAAGAAGAGCCAGCUCCCUGAGACUGCAGAUACCAAAGCUGGAAUGGGGGCUUCCCAAACACCAGGUCCCACAGCUGACACCUGGACAGCCCAUGUACCUACAGCAGGCUUGUGUAGCAUUCUUCUGUUGAGAAGCCCUGUAUGCUGAUGUACUCAUGCUAUGGGGCAGACAUUGCUUUUGAACCCUAUGCUGCAGGGACUAGCUUGCUGUGGCUAGCAAACCUAGCCACUCAAAGGCUUUAUGAAGUGUGUGUGUGCUGCCCUGGAGCACAGACCUGCCUCGUGGCCCUGAGCUGUGGCACUGGAGUGGCAGUAUCCAUUCCAGCCUUGCCUUGAGUUUGUCCUUGGGCUUAUCCCAUAGAGUUUUUGCUCCAGGGAAGUAAGGGCUACGCUUCUUCACAGUGGACAUACCCUAUCCUAUGUGGGACUAAAAUAUUGCAGCAAAUCCACCCUCCUUCCAAAUGAUGCUUCUAAAUGUAUGCUCACAUUUGUACUUGUGAACUUCAAGUAGUAGCAGACUGUGAGAUUUGCAUGUGUGCACACAGCAUGCACUUCCACAUACACACAUCAAACACUGGGAGAAUAAAUGCAUGUGAAACCGUUGUGGUUGAAUCUUGAGCAACUGGUCACAUGCAGAUCAGGUUUUGGAGUGUCAAACUUUCCAGGUCCUCCAACUGUACUCUACCUCUUUUUCUCAUGGGCAUUAUCUUUUUCCAGCAGUAGAAACGUACAAGCUGUAAAGCCCUUGAUGUUCUGAGCCACCAUUAACCUGUUAGGCAGCUGUCCACCUACCUUGCUUGUGGGCUUUGGCCACACAAUUUCCUGAAAACUUAUUUCUUGGAUCACUCUCCAGCACCAAAAGGCCGUUAGAAUAAGACAUCCAUCCCAGUGUAAGCUGUCUCCAUAAGGUCAACGCGUUUACCUUGGGGCAAAGGUCUAGUUCUCAAAUCCUUGCUCCUCUUGUCUCAAAGCAAGACUUAGAUUCCAGUUUUCUGACAUUCCAAGAGAGGGCUACCAGCAUCCCUCAAUGGGUCUGGCUCUGUUUUUCUGCUUUAGGUGGUUCCAGCUGGUAGUAGUAUUUCUAAAGAGAGAAAAUGAGCCUGCAGAGUAGAGGUUGGAGAGCUCAGGAGGACUGUGUGAAAGGCAAACUCAGCUCUCUGCUCCCCUGAGAGCAUGCCUAGAGCUACUGAUACAGAGUGGGAGUCUGAGAAAGUGUGGUUUGGGGGCUUAGCUUUGAACAACCAGCUGAUUAAUUAGAAUAUUUUGUGCUGGAGUUCCAUGGAAAU
ensembl:lncRNA